rnacentral:lncRNA from 1 species
UACAAUUUCACUGCUACAUACCAGACGUUCACCGUCACAUCCAUCAAAGAUGAACAAGUGACCACUCCCUUAGAUGUAAUACCUUUUCUGUGUACUAAUUACCAGUUUAAAUUUCAACCAAUUUUAAAGUCAAUAGUACAUUUCCCCCUAGGGUGACACUUAUAUUUUAUAAAUUAAUGAUUGUUGAUUUAGCUAACUAAAAGUGGUGAAAUUCCGAAGCUUCAGUCUCAAGGCGAGCCCUCUACUUUAUCUGGAAGGAAAUCAAACAAGAAAGGCCGUUCUAAGAAAGUCAAUGAUGAUUUGCCUUCGACAACGCGGAAGAUACAAAUCAGCAAAAGGUAACUUCUUAG